rnacentral:rRNA from 1 species
GUACACGGUGGAUGCCCUGGCAGUCAGAGGCGAUGAAGGACGUGCUAAUCUGCGAUAAGCG